GAUGAACGCUGGCGGCGUGCCUAAUACAUGCAAGUCGAGCGAACAGACGAGGAGCUUGCUCCUCUGACGUUAGCGGCGGACGGGUGAGUAACACGUGGAUAACCUACCUAUAAGACUGGGAUAACUUCGGGAAACCGGAGCUAAUACCGGAUAAUAUAUUGAACCGCAUGGUUCAAUAGUGAAAGACGGUUUUGCUGUCACUUAUAGAUGGAUCCGCGCCGCAUUAGCUAGUUGGUAAGGUAACGGCUUACCAAGGCAACGAUGCGUAGCCGACCUGAGAGGGUGAUCGGCCACACUGGAACUGAGACACGGUCCAGACUCCUACGGGAGGCAGCAGUAGGGAAUCUUCCGCAAUGGGCGAAAGCCUGACGGAGCAACGCCGCGUGAGUGAUGAAGGUCUUCGGAUCAUAAAACUCUGUUAUUAGGGAAGAACAAAUGUGUAAGUAGCUAUGCACGUCUUGACGGUACCUAAUCAGAAAGCCACGGCUAACUACGUG
rnacentral:rRNA from 1 species